GAUGAACGCUAGCGAUAGGCCUAACACAUGCAAGUCGAGGGGCAUCACAUGAAGUAGCAAUACGGAUGGUGGCGACCGGCGCACGGGUGAGUAACACGUAUGCAACCUGCCUUCAACAAGGGGAUAACCCGUUGAAAGACGGACUAAUACCCUAUAACACAGGGGUCCCGCAUGGGAAUAUUUGUUAAAGGACAACCGGUUGAAGAUGGGCAUGCGUUCCAUUAGCUAGUUGGCGGGGUAACGGCCCACCAAGGCAACGAUGGAUAGGGGAACUGAGAGGUUUAUCCCCCACACUGGUACUGAGACACGGACCAGACUCCUACGGGAGGCAGCAGUGAGGAAUAUUGGUCAAUGGACGCAAGUCUGAACCAGCCACGCCGCGUGAAGGAAGACGGCCCUACGGGUUGUAAACUUCUUUUAUACGGGAAUAAAGUGCCCCACGCGUGGAGUUUUGCAAGUACCGUACGAAUAAGGAUCGGCUAACUCCGUGCCAGCAGCCGCGGUAAGUACUGACUCA
rnacentral:rRNA from 1 species